rnacentral:rRNA from 1 species
GGCGGCAGGCCUAACACAUGCAAGUCGAGCGCCCGUAGCAAUACGGGAGCGGCAGACGGGAGAGUAACACGUGGGAACGUACCCUUCAGUUCGGAACAACCCAGGGAAACUUGGGCUAAUACCGAAUACGUCCGUAAGGAGAAAGAUUUAUCGCUGAAGGAUCGGCCCGCGUCUGAUUAGCUAGUUGGUGAGGUAACGGCUCACCAAGGCGACGAUCAGUAGCUGGUCUGAGAGGAUGAUCAGCCUCAUUGGGACUGAGACACGGCCCAAACUCCUACGGGAGGCAGCAGUGGGGAAUAUUGGACAAUGGGCGCAAGCCUGAUCCAGCCAUGCCGCGUGGAUGAUGAAGGCCCUAGGGUUGUAAAGUCCUUUCGGCGGGGAAGAUAAUGACGGUACCCGCAGAAGAAGCCCCGGCUAACUUCGUGCCAGCAGCCGCGGUAAUACGAAGGGGGCUAGCGUUGCUCGGAAUCACUGGGCGUAAAGCGCACGU